UGGUGGCGAGUGGCGAACGGGUGAGUAAUAUAUCGGAACGUAUCCAGUUGUGGGGGAUAACUAAUCGAAAGGUUGGCUAAUACCGCAUACGCCCUGAGGGGGAAAGCUGGGGAUCNUCGGACCUAGCGUUGAUGGAGCGGCCGAUAUCUGAUUAGCUAGUUGGUGAGGUAAAGGCUCACCAAGGCGACGAUCAGUAGCUGGUCUGAGAGGACGACCAGCCACACUGGAACUGAGACACGGUCCAGACUCCUACGGGAGGCAGCAGUGGGGAAUUUUGGACAAUGGGCGCAAGCCUGAUCCAGCCAUUCCGCGUGAGUGAAGAAGGCCUUCGGGUUGUAAACCGCUUUUGUCAGGGAAGAAACGGUUUGGGCUAAUACCCCGAACUAAUGACGGUACCCGAAGAAUAAGCACCGGCUAACUACGUGCCAGCAGCCGCGGUAAUACGUAGGGUGCAAGCGUUAAUCGGAAUUACUGGGCGUAAAGCGUGCGCAGGCGGCUUUGCAAGACAGAUGUGAAAUCCCCGGGCUCAACCUGGGAACUGCAUUUGUGACUGCAUGGCUAGAGUGCGGCAGAGGGGGAUGGAAUUCCGCGUGUAGCAGUGAAAUGCGUAGAUAUGCGGAGGAACACCGAUGGCGAAGGCAAUCCCCUGGGCCUGCACUGACGCUCAUGCACGAAAGCGUGGGGAGCAAACAGGAUUAGAUACCCUGGUAGUCCACGCCCUAAACGAUGUCAACUGGUUGUUGGACGGCUUGCUGUUCAGUAACGAAGCUAACGCGUGAAGUUGACCGCCUGGGG
rnacentral:rRNA from 1 species